AUCCUACCACGGAUCUCCUUUGCAUUCUAUCCACCACUCCAUCGCCAUAUUUAAUAUUCACAAAUACCCAAAUACACAGUAUAAUCAAUUGAAUUAAAUCAUUAAAAUUAAGGCAAAAUUGAUGAUGACCCAUGGUACCAGUAGAUGUUCCUUGAUGAGGCAGACCUAGGAUAGUGGUUCGUGAUCGUGGGUUGCGCCGUCGACGUCGGAAUUGACAUUUGAACUGUUCAAGUUCAUUGCUUGAUGAAUGGACGGUAGAUUUGGAUUUCAGCUUUGUUUGAUGUCACAUGGGUGUUGGUAUGUAUUGAGCUUCUUGGUCGACUAAGAGGGUAGGCUUGGCAUAGGUCUCACUGGAGGUGAGGAUUUCGGCCAUUUUUGGGUGCGUGGGUAGCUUGUUUUACGUCAAAUUUGGGUGAGUUGUGAAGAGGGAGGUGAGAGCUUUCUGAUGGUAUAGAUAUCCGGUGGUUUGGGCGGUGGCUGGUCAGUGUUUGAGUGAUUCAAAAUAGGCGGCUUCAUCCACUGUAAGGCAAAAUUUUUUUUUAAUUAUUGUAGUUGUUUAAUAAUUUGGGAAAAUGUAAAUAUACAAUUUUGCCCUUUUCUAGUUUGGUCAAAAUUGAUUUAAUUUUGACUAAUCCGGUCAACUAAUGGUUAAAUGGAUGUUUUGGACCUCAUGUGCAUAUUUUUGAAAGGUUUGAGACUGCGAGUGGUACAAAAUGAAGGUUUGAAGAAAGUCUGCUAAAAUUGAAAAGGUAUGUGACCGCUACUUCAAUUUUUCCUUAAAUUAAUUAGUUAAAUAUUACACAAGACUUUUCUAUACAUAUAAAGUAAAUAAUAUGUGUAUCAAAAUAAAUGAAUAUCCUAUUACGUGAUUAAGGGCCAAGUUGAGAGUUUUUUUCCCACUGUUGAAAAAGGAUAGUUUAUUAGGGUUUAAAGGUGAAUGACAAUUAUACCCAUGCAAUCCUAAAAAUAAUUACUAUUGUAUCCCUGAUUUUGCCCUAUAAAUAUAGGGUUUUGAUUUUUAAUAAAACACACAAAAGUUUAUUAACUUCUCUUUGUUCUUUUCUCUUUUCUUCACUUUUAUAACACGUUAUCAGCACGAUAACUUAAUUUUUCAAAGUUUAGUGAAGAUAAUAACUUUUAUAGGCAUGAAUAUUUAUCACGUGUACCAAAAUUAAUUUGAUAGCAUGUGAAAUAUUU
rnacentral:lncRNA from 1 species